rnacentral:rRNA from 1 species
CUACGGGUGGCUGCAGUGAGGAAUCUUCCACAAUGGACGAAAGUCUGAUGGAGCGACACCGCGUGAAGGAUGAAGGCCUAACGGUUGUAAACUUCUUUUCUGAAGGAGCAUAAUGAGAGUACUUCAGGAAUAAGGGACGGCUAAAUACGUGCCAGCAGCCGCGGUAAUAAGUAUGUCUCGAGCGUUACCCGGAAUCACUGGGUGUAAAGGGUUCGUAGGUGGUUUGAUAAGUUGGAUAUGAAAGACCGGAGCUCAACUCCGUGUUGGUGUUCAAAACUGUCAAACUAGAAUCAGGGAGAGGUAAGUGGAAUUCUGCGUGUAGGGGUGCAAUCCGUAGAUACACAGAGGAACACCAAAAGCGAAGGCAACUUACUGGAACUGUAUUGACGCUGAGGAACGAAAGCGUGGGGAGCGAAAAGGAUUAGAUACCCGUGUAGUC